CCUGGUGGUGGCGGGCGCGGGCGCCGCCGUCGCGUUCACGUCGCUGUGGCGGAUAGAGCACCCGGGCGCCGCCGGUUCCCGUGCGGAAGCCGGGGC
rnacentral:tRNA from 3 species